GGUUUAGCAGUUCUUUACACAAUAAGAUGGAUAACCAGGGUGAUCUUGGCCUUAAAAUGAGAAAGUUAAAGCUUUUAUGGGUGACAUCAUGUCUGAGAGAAGCCCACAGCACAUUACCAGCCAGAUUGUGCCAGGCACUGUACAGACCCAGGUUAGAAGUUUCCUUGCAGCAAAGACUUCUUACCUAUGCGUUAAGAAAGACAGAUUGAAUUAGAUAUAGGCAAUGGACAAAACGUAACUUGCUCUCAGUUGUAGGGAGGGACCAAAACAUCAUAAGGUCCUCCAGAGCCCUGAGUACCCAAAGCUAGCAUGGCUAAAGCACACAUGAAUUCCAGGAGCUGACAGCACACAAGAGAGGAGGUGUGGGUAGCAACACACACAGCCGUUGCGCCGAAUGACCUCAUACCAUUUCAGCAAGUGUGUGUUUUGGGCCUCAGUCCAGAGCAGGUCACAAACUCACCUCUCUGCCAUUACACCCCCUUGAGUGAAAUAAAGGGGCUAUGAAAGUUCCACCUGGCCAGUGAAAGGGUCCCAAUGCAGGCCCUUCAGGAGAUGGCCAAUAAGGCUUCCCUUCACAGACAUCCUUGCAAGCUCUUGAGUAGGGGGCAUGCCACAUGUGGGGCCAGCAGUGGGAAGGGCUGCAGCAUGCAGCAUUGUGAGGAUUUCUGACACAGCUGAGGAUCAUAGGUGAACCUGUGGAGGCUGUCCUACUAAAACAGGCCAUUCAGAGCCAUCUAAACAUUGCAGGGGCCUGUUACAUACCCUCUAAGCCCUACCAUAUCCCCCCACUCCCCCUUAGUAUUAAAACAUAGGUUUCACUUGAAACAGGAAAAAGUAAAAGACUGGUAAGAGAUACUCUUGAGCUCUCUACAGAGCAAUGGAGAUCCCAGAGUACCAGGAGGGGAAGAUGUUUCUGAUUUAAAAUCUGCUCUACUAGGUCUAUCACUGCUUGAGGCCUAGCUCUCCAGAAACUAAAGGUUGCUGGUAAUUUGGUAAUCUGUCACAGAGAGUUUUUCUUCUAUUGUAAUUGUAGUCUAUCUCACCUACAAGUAGGAAAGCAAUUAUGCACUCACUUAUGGAAAAAAGGUAGCUUCUGUCUAUCCAAAUCUGUGUCUAUACUAAGUUUUCCAUUGACACCAAGACAAGAAAAAAAUGAUUAUUUCUUGGAUUCAGCGCUGAUCAAAAACUGGAAUUUUCCAAUGUAUAGGAAAUUCCAAUAUUUCAAAAUUUGGUUUCAUCUCAAAAUUUACUAUGGUCCAUAAUGCAUCCCAUCAAUUUAAUCAGAGGGGGAGACUGAAAUGCAUCAUGGGAAGCAAAGAUUCUUCAGUGAGCUGAGCCCAUACAGGAGAAUAGAAUAUUUUUGGCAAAAUCAAUAUUUUGAUUUUGGUGAAAUUGCAUUUUCAAUAAAAUGGAGGGAACCUGCUACUCCAUCCAGCCGUUCUUCUAAUGGAGUUUAUUGCUUUCCCACCUCAGCUCUGUACCUUGCAAAGCUAUACUUGUCAAGUAAAGGCAUUUUUUUUGAUUGUUCAAAAAAUGGGCUGUAAGAAAGAUUUGGUCUGUCAAAAAAUCACUGGAGGGACUCUUUCCAUAGGGGUUAGAGUGAGCAUGGAUGAGAGAUUUUAAACUCCAUCUUGUAAAUGUUUUUGUCCUGCAAGUUUCAUACACACACGCUCAGAUGCACACGUUCAGUGUUAUAGAACUUUCAGGAUUAAUAUAUAGUUAGUGAUGAAGAAAGUUGUUUUCUAUCCUUUAUGAGUUCAUUACCUUAAACAUUGCUGACAAGGUUUGCUAUACAUUAUAUUUAUGAGAUAGGUGAGUUAUAAUAAUGUACCUCUUGAGCACUGUUAUUUUUGUAGUAACUUCUGAAAUCAUAAAUAUAAUAUUAUUAUGAGCAUGAGACCUAAAAAAAGAAAGUAGCAAAAGUAUGAGUUACUGCUGGGCAGAAGGAAGAGGGAAAGGGCAGUACAAAAACAGAGUUUAUGAAUGCUGAGAAAGAAAAGCCCAGGUGAAGAAGCAGCCGAUAGCAGUGAAAUGACACUAGUUUCCACAGUGCAUCCCUGAACAGACUGCAGAAACCUGUUGGUGAGCAACGAGAUAAGGAGUGGCCCAGAGGUAUGGAGGGUCUUUGUCAGACUAAGAAAUGGAUUGCAACAUCAGCACAUGGUGCAACGGCUCUAGUCAAGUCUCUAAAACCAUAUAACUUUCACCUUAGCAUACGUGGAGAAACAGCUUUUAAGUGAGACGAUAAUCAAGCUUCUAGAGUGGAGUGCAACUGCAGGAGUGGAGUGGAGAGGAUACGGGAGUGGAUAAGGUUCCUCUCAAACUGACCCUGGAGUAUUGUGAGCCAAGCGGGGCAUUCUCUGCUUUCUACCAAUGUGCAGAGCACGCUCACAGAGGCUGCAUGCUUUAGCUGGUCCAAGGGCCCACACCUCAUCUCAGAGCCUGACUCUCUACUCAGCUACAGCAACGUGCACUCUCUCAGGCCAAACAGCCCCUUCUGCCAUGCAAUUCCACCCACCAAUCAGAGAAGUGGCACCAGGAAGAAGUCAGGGAGGCUUUUUACUGCUCUCCAGCCAGGACCAGGAGCUUCAUGUGGAGGAGACCCAGCAACCACCAGCAAAGAUAGGGUUCAAAGAUGCCACCACCAUCAGCAGGUACACUCCGCAUGUGCCGCCUCUAUCAGCACUGGACCCAGAACCGGACAGUGCUCCUGAAGUGGCUGGUCACUAUGGCUGAGGAGCAGCUCAAGGACUUUUGGUCCUGGUGCCACCAGGACUUGGAGAGGGAGUGGGAGAGGGGCCAGGUGCACUUUGCCCUCAAGCAGAGGGGGCUCACCUUCCAGGAGAGGCUGGUCGCCCUCCAAAAGAGGUACCUCACCCUCAAAAAGAGGCACCUCACUCUCCUGGAGAGGCUGGUGGAGGCACAAAAACAGCAGCGCACUGUGGUGCACCAGGCAAUAGAGGUCACUGCAUCCUUGACACCAUGCUGGUCCUGGCAGUCACCUUUGUGCUGCCUGGAGCCCAUCCCUGAGCCCUGGCCCUGCCUGGCCCCUGGCUGUCAUCUACAGACCAGCGUCUAGCCCCACAGUGGGCAUUGGAGGAGGUUCAGUACCACUUGCAGCAGCCAAGGCCCCCUGCCCCUGGUCCUCAUCCUGGUCCUGUGGGGGUCUGGCCCCCCUCCUGGGCUGUUCCCUGCUGCUCACCCUACCACCAUGCAGCUCCUGAGUGGAAGCUGGCCACAGCUGGGCUAGCUCCCCAUGUGGGCCCUGCUGGCUAUAUCCCUGUGGAGGAGGAGGGGGAAUAAGCUGAGUGAGCUGGACAGUGCCCACUGUCACCCCUGGGCCAGCCCCCAGCCCACGGUGUCACCAUAGCAUUUGCACUGGAGGUGGUGUCAGCAGAGGCCAGGGUGCUGGGUGCCUCUCCCUGGGCUCUGCACUGUAGGUGCCUCCUUCACUCUUGACAGUUUCACAAAGACACUUGUGUAAAUAGUUCAAAGGGAAGAGGAUCCUUUACUGGUGGUGCUUUAUUGGCAUUGAGGUUAGGGGUGAGAUCUGUAGUUGAGGAUGGAGGA